CUCGUCACGGAAACACAGGGGAACGGGUUUAAAAUACAGCCCAGUGUGCUGCUCCAAGGCGGCUGUUCCUAUGAAAAAACUCACUCCUGCUGUCUCCCCCUCAUUUGACCCGUGUUCAAAGAGCAGUUUAAAGAGAUAAUUUGCAGGGUGCUGUGCUACUGGCACAGUCUUUGACCUUUGAGGCAAUCAAGCAAAUCGGAUGACUCUUAAUUACGAAAGCCACGAAACACACCUUCCCAUUGACCUCACGCUGGCCACUGGGGACAGUACUUGAAAGCAGAAACCUGAAGAAUUCAAGCUGACAUGUUUCCUUAGCAGCUUAAGGACGUCCCUGCCAAGUUUAUGCCAGGCGUUCGUGAGUAGGGGACAGCUAAGCGUCCUGAUGCCCACUGCAUGAUGUGCUUUGACUGCAAAACUUAUCAUCUUCUGGCUUCCCAGCAACAGAAAAGCAGCAAGAAAACUCACUGUAUGAGUCUGUGUGUAGAAGAAGGGGUUAGGUCCUAACUCCACGCGCCUUGGGUCCCUGCUCCUGGAGACCCUUGUGAGCUGUUCAGCCCAUUCUGUCUUUGCAUUCCAGGUCUGGGCUGAAACUGCAGAUCCAGAGCAGAGGAUCCUUUCCGCAUGCCGCAGCAUCCCUGAGCAGACUCUGGGCAGUGCAGAAGAUGACCCAGCCAUUCCCCAAGAGAUCUCUGCAGGGGCUGAUAACCUGUACUCCAGGCACACAGGAGACAUGGACCCUGGAUCUUCAUUGCAGGGGGGAAAAGACCAGAAGGCCAGCUGCUAGGCUCACCAUUAACUAUUCAAGUCAUCAUGACCAGCUCUGAAAACAGCAGUUCUUCUAAGACAUGUGUCCACUCAUCUGCCUUCCCCGUUCCCGGUUUCCUGUGCAAAUGGAAGAUGUCAAGUGUUUGCUGACACUGCUGGCUGGUGCUUCACUGAACCAGGAUUCGUGAUGGGUUUUGCAAGCCUGGGUACGAGCAGUAUUGUGCAUUGACCUGCUCCUGCUGCUUUUCAUGUGUGACAGAAACAUCCCUGACCUUCAGCAGUGGUGCCUUUUGAUGGCACCAGAGCCUUGGAUCACUGCCUGGAGCAGCUUCAAGGUGCUGCAUCACCUGGGAAGAAGCAACCUGAAGGUCAGCUGCUCCAUGAUGAUCCCUGUGUGCAGGCUUCCUGGUCUAUGGGAGGCACGUGUAGGGUCUGCACCCUAGAUGGGAAAGGAAGUAAGACUGUAAUUGUAUUUCAAAGAACUUUCCAAGAGCUGCAUUUAGCACCAACACUUAAACUGCCUUGCUCAGGUAUCCUGAAGGGAAAAAAAUAAAUAGCCAAGACACUGCUUUUCUGCAGUGCCUCCCUAGCAUGCCAGAGCAUCGUUUUUCAGUAACUUGUUAAUGUGGGAUGAAAAGUAGCUUGACUUUCUGAGAGAGCAGGCUGUAUUUAUUUCCUUUCAUGCUUUCUGGCAAAGCGACCUGCUGUGUACUUGUGCCAUGUGCUCACUGUGAAACCUGGAAGUGACUCAAGGCACUUCAUUCCUUUCACCUCUGAUCUUGGCCUUGGGCCGCAGGAAGUUUUUCCUGCCCCGAGAAGGUGAUGAAACAGCAUCCACCGAGACUUAGUCCGGCGGAGGGGUGCUGGGACCAGCUUCGUGCGCCAGUUCUCACCAGCAGCCCGACUCCCAGGAAGAAUCGCUUCGCUUGGAAAAGACCUUCAAGAUUAUGGAGUACAACCAUUAACCGAACACUGCCAAGUCCUCCGCUAAACCAUGUCCCAUGCACCACAUCUACACGUGGUAGAAAUACCUCCAGGGAUUGUGACACCACCACCCUGGGCAGCCUGUUCCAGAGCCUGACAACCCUUUCCGUGAAUACAUUUUUCCUAACAUCCAGCCUCCCCUGGUGCAACUUGAGGCCAAUUCCUCUAAUCCUACCACUUGUUACGUGGGAGAAGAGACCGAGCCCCACCUCACUACAACUUCCUUCCAGGUAGCUGCAGAGCGCAGUAAGGUUUCCGCUCAGCGUCUUUUUCUCCAGGCUAAACGACUCCAGUUCCCCCAGCCACUCCUCAUAAGGCUUGUGCUUUAGAUCCUUCACCAGCUUCGUUGCCCUCCUGUGGACCUGCUGCAGCACUUCAGUGUCCUUGUAAUGAGUGAGGGGCCCAGAGCUGAACACAGAAUUCAAGGUGCAGCCUCACCAGUGCCAAGGUACUGGGGGACAACCACUACCCUACUCCUGAUGGUCUAUCCUGGCUAUUUCUGAUACAAGCCAGGAUGCUGUUGGCUCUCUUGGCCACCUGGACACACUGCUGGCUCAUAUUCAGUUGGCCAUGGACCAACCUUUCUGCAGGGCAUCUUUCCAGCCACUCUGCCCCAAGCCUGUAGGGUAGCAUUGCCUGGAGUUGUUGUGACCUGAGUGUAGGACCCAGCACUUGCCCUCGUUGAACCUCAUGUAAUUGGCCUCAGGCCAUCGAUCCAGCCUGCCCAAAUCCUCUUUCUACCCUCAAGCAUAUCAAACUGCUUGCCUAAUUUGUCUUGUCUGCAAACUUACUGUGGAUACACUCAAUCCCCAUGUCCAGAUAAUCGAUAUAUUCCUCCUGCUAUGUCUUGUCAUCUGUUGCUUUUAAAAUUUUCUUUCAACAUCUCCUUCUAUGUUGUUUAAUGUUCCAAUUUUUAAAUUCUUGCCUAUGUUUCUUGUACCUUCUGGCUUUUUGAAUUCUCUUUCUGUGUUUCUGUACUGGGUUUAUGUGUCAAGGUUUUGGUAGUGGCAGUGCUGCAGUUGUGGCUCCUGUGAGAAGACAUCUGGAGCUGCCUUCAUGGUGGAUGGAGCCAGUUCCAGCAGGCUGCAGGAGGGACCUGCCACUGGCCAAAGCUCAGCCACAGCUCUCCAGGUGUGGCCUCACCCGUGCGGAGUAGAGGGAAUGUUUAUUAGACUUUGCUCCUGCCCCAAACAAUGUGGCUUCCCUGGAGGCUGUAAGAAAGAGAGGUAUUUCUGUCCACUGUCCCAUCAGUGUAGCACGUGAGGGAGAUGCCUGUCAUCAAGAUACAGAAGGCAAUGGGAGCUGUGCAGCAUAGUUUUCGUAUCCACCUUGUAAAAUUAAAUAAUUUCCUAUGGCCAGAACUGGUUAUGAAAGGUGUGUCUAUUCACACUAGAACUGAGUUUGAAGACACAUGGAAAAAAGUUCUCACUUUAAUUAUAAAGGUCUAGCAUCUCUAUUUGUAGCAGGAAGGCUCUGUGGGAAAAGGGAUUAUUUGCCUUAAUAAGUGGUUGCAACCUCCACCUAGAAAUAAACAUGGUUUCAUAAUUGAGAAGCCAGGAUGUUUUAUAUAGCUCCCUGUAAAUCUUUGGAAACAUAGAGGAAGCAACAUCUCCUGUCUUGUCCUCUAGCUUUCCCAUGAAACUGUCUAACCCUUUUGAGAUUUUUGUCUCUACCACCCAACAUUAUUGGCCUUUGUAAUUAGGCUCCUCAACAUGAAGUGGUUUUAUAGUACCCUUUUCUACUAAUUGUUACCUAAGAUAAGGACGUUAAAUUUCAGAAACUUGCCUGCUCUCAACUUCCAUAUAUCAAAUCAGUCCCAAGGAUCUUUCUAUAGCUUAGAAGAAAGGAGAAGUCACUAACCUUAUCAGACAGUGCUGAUGAAGUGAAGGCGCCUUUCGAGUCAGGGCAAGCUGGCAGCACACAGCUCAGCCAACACUUCUGCUUGUUUUAAAAAAAGAAAGGGCCAUGAGGGUCUUGUCCUUUCAGGUUUCCAGUUUACACAAGAUGGGUUUCUAUUAAUUCCGUUAAAUUAUCAUCCUUUUAGUAACAUUUUCUUCAUGCUACGUAUGUCAAAAAAAUGUUUAAGCGUACAUAGGAUAUUUAACUUUUUUUUUAACCACCAGAGAAAACUAGCGGUUCCUACCAGAACAGCCACUUUUAUAAGCAUUUGGUAUUUUUUUUUAACCACAAAACCAGAAAAUAAUCAACAGAAACCAUGCUUUGCUUAACCUUUAAACACACCAGAAAAACGCCAGGAAACUUUCUCCAAAAAUCUGACAGUAGGGCUGGGCUUUUCUUUCUGUGGAAGAUCUAUCCAGUUGAUUUAUUUAACCAUCUUUAACAUGAACGUAAAUUAAUUGUAAGAAUCCAAGAAAAGUUACUUAUUUUAACAAAAUGAAAACUCAAGAGACCUGGCUAGUUUUUGUUGAUUUCUGUAACUGCUGUGUUCUGGUUUGUUGUUGUUUUUUUUCCUAUGGAAUAUUGAUGAAUAUACCACACAAUAAGUAUUCCUGUAUAACUGAUUUAUAUACUCAUGUUUGAGGAAGGAAUUAUCAGCAUUACACUCGGUAUCUAAAUCAGGAAAAUUAUUCUUUCUAGAUGUCAAAAACAACUUUUCCUUUCCGGGUGGCCUCCCUGGUAGGUGCCCAGCCCCUGCUCCGCGCACGGGCACCCAGGGCUCUCCUUGGAGGCAGCUCCCUCUCCCCGCCCCAUCCCAGACCUCUCUGGACUGCUCGACUGCGCAGCUGCGGAUCCCAGAACUUUCCAGAAGGACGAACGGCGCAGGUGCAGCAGCUGGCUGGUUCUUCUCCUCUCCUCUCCGAGGCUGGUUGCCGGGGACAGGGCGCUGUAAAGCGGUGGAAGCAGCGGGCGCUUCUCCACCCGCGGGCAGGACCCGAGGCUGGAGUUUGGCAGAGCCCAAGGCGCUGGGAAGGACCUCGCUGGAGCGAAGGGUGGUGACCCGUUUGUCCUGUCCUCUCGUCUGUCUGCCUUUCCCUUCUUUCUUCUUUUCUUCUAAGAAGUAAAGAGCUGCGAAGUCCUCGCCGCUUCCCCCGGUUGGAUCCAUUCCCCGGUGGCGGGAGGAGUCGCUGUGAGUCGGCAGCCUCCCCCCAGGGCCCCCAGUAGCAUCUGAGCGGGGAGCUCCCGGUAAAGCGCUGCCCCCCAGGGCAUUGCCCACGGCUGCCUUUCUAGCCCCGCUGCCGCCCGGACAUAAAGGUUGCAGGAAAAAUGCUAAGGUUUGCUCUGUGUGACUUCGUUUCUGCCUACAGCAAGCAGAUAUAAAGGAAUGGAUUCAUCAAACCUAAAUUUAAUUUGGAGUAACGCUGGCCAACAGUUAGGUGUGAUUUAGGCAGAAAAAAAAAACCGGGUCUGAGUGCUUUUCCAGGCGGUAUCACUUCUUGGUGAUUUCAUAUCAUUGCUAUAGCCUGUUUGAUGUUCCACUUUGGAUUUUGCUUCAGAUUUGCAGGACUUAGCUGGCCCUAAGUGUCCACAUGGCAGCUUAAGCCUAGAUGCAGGCAGGCUUGUCCCGUUGACAGUGUUUCCCUUAGAACCCUGGCUCGCAUGAGAACCUCCCUGUCUUUCUAUUUCCUUGUGCAAAACCGGCUUUCCUUCUUUAUGGGUUAAUGAAAAAAAAAAAUAAUUAAAAAAUGGUGUGAGUCCCACUGCAAUGAAACAUAAUGGCAAAGCAUAUAAAUGAUGAAGAAAAAGCUGCUGCUAGGAUGGAUCACUUCCCAGCCUUCCUACCAACGGGGCAGCACGCUGCACUGCUCGCCAGCCUUUUGCUGCAGCUCUCCCAGUGUCCCAGGAGUGGGGAAUGGGCAGGGAAGCUGCUUUUCUGCUGCCCUCGCUGCCUCGGAGGGUGGAUUGGAGAUACCCUGUGCAGGCAGAGCCAAGAUGCUGAAAGUACUAUGGUUGGAGGUUUUCACAGAGCAGAAAGCUGUUUAGACAAAAAUAAUGGUCUUUCUGUAGAAGUACAAUUAAAUCUGCUCUCUGUAGGGAAUAAAGACCAGAUGUUACAUGCUGCCUCUUAGUUUUUUACUUCUGCAAAUUAAACAGCGUGGGGGGACAGAUAGAACCUGCACUUUAUAAUCUUCUGCCCUUUUAGAUUACACGUUGGAUUAUUCAGAUUUAUGUGUUUUAGGACAUUUCGGUGUAAAGUAUUGGCAUUGCUAAAAAUCUGGUGUGGGGUUUUUUUUUUUCUCCCUAAGCAAAUAAUUAACAAGAUUUUGUAUUUCUGAAUGCUCUCAUUUUUUUUUUCCACGGUGUUUUAUAGGACAGUCUGAAAUUUAUCCAUAAAACUGGUAAAUUUCUGAUGGUAGGCAAUUUUCUUUUUUUUCACAAGCUUGUCUUAUAUCGUUAUUAUGCUUCUCUUAAAGUUUUGGUUUCUUCUGUAAAAGAUUACUUUGCAAAAGUGUCCUAGUGAGGUCAUUGGGCAUUUUCCUUAUCAGUAAUUUCCUACCCAAUUUGCGUAUUGUGCAGGUUAAAGUCUCCCUCUAUUGUCAACACAGCUAUAGUUAAUAAUGCAGUUUAGUCUGGUGAUAAUUUAUUCCAGCUAAUGAUGUAUGAGAUGUAAAAAGCCCCAAGGAGGAGUUUGGGGGACUGGUAAUUAGGAGGGCAAAAAUUUCCAAACCAAACAUUCCCACGUUUUUUCCUUGCAAACUCAGCGUAUCAUAUUCUGAAGUCACUGAGACACCAUGGAGCCUUGCUUUUUUUUACAGUCUCUUGGUGGUGGAAUCACACUUUAAAUCAUCCUGCAAAAGCAUGACUUGGUUAACACUUCAUUAUACAAGGAGAUUUCCACUAUGCUGUAGUUGGCAGGAAAAUCUGACUUUCCUCAUGUAUUUUAUCCAUCACCCACUUCAAAUUAAGAAAAUGUGACUUUAGAAGUUUUUGUCUAGAAAGCAUAUGCCUGAAUGUCUGUUUACCCAAUCAUCAGUUGUACUAGGUGGGUAUGUUAAAAAUACGAAAGAUCAGAUACCAUAGUUAAAUUAAGACACUCCUGUGAUAUUUUUUUUUCCUUCAAGGAAUAAAUAUUUAAUUGUGAAGCAGCAUUUGAAGAGUAGCAUGUUUCAUCUGUAGGACCGUUAAUAGCUUGCAGUAUAAUUUUACAAUGUGGCCAGUUAAAUUAAUUUAGUAAGUGGAGAACAUGGUUAUUUGCUCCCAUAAGCAUUUUCAGACUGCCACCUGUUGAAGUGACAUAAUAACUGGAGCAUAGGUGGUCCCAGGCCAAGUGAUCCCUUUUACAGCUUGUGUUACGAUGGUGGGAGCCUCCAAAAUAUUUAAGGGUAUCCAGUGGUGUAGGAAAUCUGCCGGUCGUAAUCUUGGUAGAAGAUUAUUUUUCAAAAAGCAGAAAAUAGACUUGCCAGUAGAAUAAUAACUAUAUCCAGUUCCCAAGGAUGUUCACACUCUUGUGACACUGGCAUUCAAGCCUCUAAAAAUGUGUGGAUACUUAGGACUCUUGUACAGGUGAAGCCCAAACCUUUUCUUCAAUUUUAGGUAUUUUCUUUAAGCAAGACUCCAAUUUGCAAUAUUUAUAAAUUCAAACAGGCUAUAUGCAACUGCACAAUAAGCUGAAUUUUAGUUUUGUAUCCUUUUAAGAUAAAAAUUUAAGUUAUAAAAGAGAGAGCCUUCUGAAAUGGGUACUCUUGCUGUUCUACUGGAAUUGUACUCAAAAGCAGGGAGAAAAACCACCCGUGGCAUUGUCAUAAAAACCAGUCCAGCUGCACUACCACAACAUGUAAUGCUUUAUUUCUGCAGCUAAUCUUUUUUUUUCUUUUUUUCUUUUUGGAUCUCUUUCAGCUAAACACAAUGUUCUAACUAGAGGUAUUUCAGUAGGCAUGGGCUUAUGCAGAAAGACUUGUCAGCCCUGGGCUCAGGUGUGUAAUAAUGUCAUAUCCUGCCAAAGAAAUGAGAGAAGUAUUUAACAAAUUGCCAUCAAGAAGCUGUCUAGUGCACUUGCCUACUAUAAAUACUUUUAGACCCAGUUAUAUAACUUGUUGAAUAAAGAGUGCAGUGCAUGUUGUAGAAAAUCCCUGCUAGUCUCAUACCUUGUAUUUUUCAUUAUUCUAACACACAGGGUUGUUGGUUUUUUCCUCUUGAUGUGACUGGAUACCAGAAAAUAUUUGUAAACCUCAUUUUUUGUAAGUGUUCAAAUUGAGACAAUUUUUAACAACAUCCCAAAGCACCUUUCAUUUCAAAAUACUACAUUAUACAUUUAUAAACUGCUUAAACACAUAGAAGCAACUAAAAGGUACCCUCUGGUCUGUAAUUCUUUAGAAAAAUUAGCUUACAUUAAAUCAGUCUGUUAAUUGAUUCGAUCUUUAAAAUCCUCAUGAUGAUGCAGAUUCUGUCUUGAAAGCUGAAUCUUCUCCAAGAAAGAAAGCCAUGUAGUGGUACAUAAAUUUCACACAAUUUGAAAAGAGAGACUGCUAGAAGUGAAACGGUAAGGAUUAAUUUUAAAGUAGGAUGAAUUCAUACAUCUAAGAUAAAAUUGUUAGUAGCCUUUCGGUAGAGGUGUUAAAAACUCAGAUGGGCAGUGCCUUGAGCAAACUGGUCUAGGUUGGCCCGUACAGCUGUUGAUUCUGUGAAGAAUGUGGAGCCAUUGAGUAGGUUGGAAAGGACCUCAGGAGGUCGUCUGCUUCAGCUUCCUGCUCAAACCAGGUCUGGCUUCAAAGAUCAGUUAGGUUGCUCAGGGUCCUACAUGUUUUAAGUUUUUUAAAUUCUCAAGGUGGGGACUCCACCCCACCCUUUGCCCUUCAGAGCACCCUCCCAUGAGAUCCUGUCUGCUGCCCUGACAUGCCAAUGUUCAGAGUUUUUAGUCUGCUACUGCAGAUUCUGCUCUCUGCUACUGCCGUGAGUCGCCACCUUUGCCUUUAAGAAAAAAUGUAAGGCAAGAACCAGAAAAGUGCAUCUUGGACUCUGCAAAGCCACUCAGUUUUUAAAAUUGCCAGCAUUGGAUUAGAAGUUUAGUUGCUGCAUGGUAUAUCGGUUGCCUUCAGUCUGUGAAGGCAUAAGCUUGUUCCUUGUUUUUCAGUGUCAGUUUUCAAGGAGAGAAGAAGGUGGUGAAACAGUUGCCACGUCAUGGCUAUGGUUACGCUAAAUGUGCUUAUGACCUGGGAGAGAGGAAAAUUAAGCCAGCCAGAUUCAGAAAGAAGUUACCCAUUUUUUUGUUUCUGAGCUUCACACAGGGCUAUUGGUAUUUAUUUUUUUUGCCUGAAUAUUUUUAGGCUGCCUUUGAAUUACUGAUGCUCUGAGAUCUGCCAAGAGAUGUGUUGGCUGCUAUCUGAGUUGCUUCUUUACCAGCUGAUUCUUUACCAGCCUCUACUGUUUGGCAUUUCAGUGAGAGCAGAGCAGAUCAGUUUCCAUCUCCCAAAAGAGCACCCCAAAAGUUGUCUGCUUUCUAUCAGACAUAAUUCCAACUGUUUGCCUUUUUUUAACCCUCACUCCAUCUGCAUAUGGUACAGAAUUGUCUUUUUUCCUCUCUUUGUGGGUUUGUGUCACCUGUGUCUCUGGCUACCUCUAAAAAGGAGAGUUUCUAGAGAGAAGAUUUCACAUAACAUGUAAAGAGAAUUGGUUCUCAAACCAAGUGGUCAUUACUCAUCUAAAAAGAAAUGUGCUUUCCAUAACUGUUUAAGGGUCCUAAAAAAAAAAAAAAGAAAAGAAAAAGUUCUCCAUAUGCCUAAAUGUACUCAUCUCAGGAUUUGAGGACACAUUUUAAAUGAAAGAAAAAUCAGGCAAUUAAAAAAUACCUAAAUGCUGAAAUUGGCAGUGAUGAGACUGGCAUUUUUUCAAAGACAACCUAUUUGGAACUUACCUAAGUGACUAGUAAAGCAUUUUAAAUGUAUUCAGUAUUUCAGUUAUUUACAUAAGCUUUGACUGUAUAUUACAGAACUCUUCCUGUUGUGAUUUCCAGGUAUAGCAGUUACUUGAAUUAAUUUCUUGGGCAGUUCUUCAGAGGGUCAGUUCCCAGUAUUUUCCCCAUUACUGAUAAAAUCUAAAGGUACUGAAGAAAUCCUGAUGAAGACAGCUGACCUGACCACAUGGCAUCAGAACUGAUGCAACCUGAUCUGAUGGGCUUUGGCAGGACUACAUUCACUUGCCAGAGCACGAAGCUCUGGUCCCUGUGUUAAAAGCAAAAUGUCAGGGAGGAAAGGUCAGAGACAGACUUGAGAAAUUUUUGCGGAGGAGAGUCAAUUAUUUCAACUCACCACUUUAAACCUGAACUCAGUAAUAUUCUUCCCUACGUUGUGGGUUUUCCAUGGGGAUCUCCCAGUUUGUUGAAGGAAUAACCAGGCUUGAGAGGCAGUGGUUGAAGGUGGUAUAGCAACAUGUCAACCCCCUUUUUUCCACAUUAUAAAUUCAACUGUCUAGGAGGAAACCACCUUAUGACUUGGAGCACUUUAGGACAAACAUUAAUAAUAACAAAUGCUAAUUGGUCAUUAUUGCUUGAACUGAAGAUAUCAGAUUUCAUUUUCACCAGGAGGAAAUUAAAAUGUCAUGUCCUGUAAUAUGACAAGCAUGGAAUUUACUGUAGCGAUAUGUACUUGUAAUUGCCUUUAUAUGUGUAAAUAUACACAAAGCAGAACACCAGGGAGGCCGUUUUACAACAGAUUUAAUCAAGAGAACAUCUACAUCUCCUCAUAAACUUACUUAACCAACUUUGAAAAAAGAAUGAGGUUGAUUAGACAGGUUAAUGAGGUGAUGUCUUUAUAAAUGACAGAUGGCCAUGUUAGAACAGAAAGCUGUUCACUCUCCAUUUUUUAUUUUAUUUUACUUAGGAGGCUGUUUUACUAUUUUUUUACUUAUAAAAGCAUUGCUCAUGCAUUUUUGAUUAGCAGUGGUUCACUGAAAAAAAGCAAUUUCCAGUGAAACUGAACUUUUAAUGGGAUGGAUGUUGUUAUUACACUUAAGCGGUAAUAAUCAAAACUAAACUAUGAAUAUUUUUUUUUUUAAUUCCAUGUCCUUACAAACAUCCUGACCUCCCCCGCAUUGGCCUGCAAAUGGAGAAGAGUGCUUACAGAUUUGCAAGCUCAGAAGAACAUAACAAAGGAAUGGAAACAGGAAGAAGAAAGCUAGCUUUUCGUGAUAGAGCAAAUCGAAUUGUGGUGAAUUUGACAGAGUAAUUAAAAAAAAUUAGAAUUAAAAAAAGGCAGAAAUCUUAAUUAAGAAUAGUACAGAAUAUUAUUGUAGUGCAACAUUAGCUAGACUUGGAGGAAAAAGUCCACCUUGGGCAUAAUGAUUUUGCCUCAGAAUUUUCAAAGUGUAGAAUGUGGAGUAGCCUAGAUUGUUAAUCUUACCUCAGAUCUGUGAGGUAUCUGGAGGUGGAUCACAUGUACAGCAUUAACUGAAGGGAGGAUUCAUGAAGUACCUAGAAAAGACCUCUGAUGGUGUGCUCUGGGGACCCUAGCCAGGCCUGAAGAGGAGAAGGUGCAGUAGCUGAUGUGGCUGUUGAAAGCCACCAUUGCAGUAGCAGCUCUUGGCUCUUCUGUGGAUGGCAUGCUGCUUAGCAGUGGUCUGUGUGCCACCACUGGCAUGUGCCAUGAUUUGUGAAGCUCUGUCCAGAGAUUUCCACAGCCUACUCAGCUGUUAGGAAAUCACAAUUCUGCAGUUAUUUCUGCAACAUUCUUCCAUCUCAUUUCUUCUACUGUAUGAAAAAUGACAUUCCUAAGUGGUCCGGAGAUGAUGAAAAUUAGAUGUGCAUUGCUAGCCUUCUACUCUUGUUUUCCUCCUCCUUUGGCAUUUUUUACUGAUCUGAAGUGUACAGCUUCUUUGUCUGAUGCUGAUCCUUGAUUAAAACAAUGGAAUAUCUCUCUAGUCUUCCAGAUGUGAAUUUGAAAACCAGAGCCUCUGAGGAAAGUUUUUAUCUUGAAAACUUCUGUGUAGAUUUAGGAUUCACAAGAAGUACAAGACUUAAAUUCUGAAAAAAUUCUGGACCUUAGGGGCCUUUUUGCAUUUUAUCAGGGUUGGAUUAUCAGUGCGGUGAAACAAUCCUUAAGAACAUGCAUAAAACUCUGCGGGAGAUAGCUGUAAUGAAAAAUAAUUCCAGAUAUUCAAUAAGGACAAUGUGGCUGCAGGCUGUCAGAGGCUGGCUCAAAAUUUUGGCAAGCUUUCCAAAUGCUAGUGUACUGCUGACUUUUUUCUUUUUAAUAAAGUACAAUAGCAUAUCAUAAGUUCAAUUUAAAUUGGCCAUACCUACGCAAAUCAAUCAUUUCCAUAACGGUGGCUUAUCCUCAUUAACAGACACAGAUCAGCUUAUCUCUUAGGUAGGUGAGUAGGUGGCUGGCAGCUGCUGAGGUCUAGCUUUCACUAGUAACAUAGUAAUCACCAGUUUUGGGUGAUAAUUUGACAUCCUAUUUAAGUCACUACACAACUCAAUCGGCUUGUCCCACAACUCACCCCUUACUAACAUGAAGCAAGUAAAUUUCACACAGAUUAUUCAUUUAGGUAAUAGCCGUGACUGGCUUUGUGUUCCUUAUUGGCAUUUCUAACAGAUAAAUUGCUAUAACGUCAGUAGCAGUACUUAUCAAUGUGUUACCAUCUGGUCAUUACCAAACCAAGGUGGACCCAGUGCCAUGUAGAUUGUUUAAAUAUGCCUUUGCUCAAUUAGUUUCAUAAGUUCUGUCAGGAUUUUACCAUGUACUAAUACCACACCCAACCCCUGCUGCCAGAUUCCAGUUUUUCUCUGCUCCUAUUUUCCCCAGAGUUAGCUAGAUGCGCAGAGCAUUUUGAGGUGGAGGUGCAAUUUUUUUUUACUUCAUUUGGUGCUAACUGGGGUAAUCCGAUCAGUGCUGGAUUUCUGGUUUCAUAGAUGUAGUGGAUAUAGGAUGUGGGGGAUAAUACAGAAAGGAUUAUGCAAAGGAUUUGUGUCUUCAGGAAGUACUAAUUUCCUUGGUGCCUGAUGCUUAAGAUGAGGUACCCUCUUCCAGCACCUGGCUGCCUUGUAAAGCAGUACAUUUGAGUGCCCUGAUACACAGAAUACCACAGCUAAUCUAGUGAGACAAUCCUUGGUACUGUAUUGUGAUUUCUAGAAGUAAAUACAUAAAAGAAUGUCCCUUGAUACAUGACUAUUGUAGUGUUGUAAUGAAAGACACUGCAUUUUAGAAGAGCCCGCUAAACGCUGCAGUCUUCUAAAUCUUUUGUUUCUGUCUUCAUUCUGUUCCUAACCACUGACUCCCUUGAUUCUUUACUGCUCUGUAUGGACUGUCUCCCUGUAUGCCUCCUGCCACUGAUCCCUGUUUCUGUUAAAACAGUCUUUUAGCCUGUAUUCCUUUAACUUUCUGUUGUUCUGUUCUCUGUUUCAUACACCUCACUAUUUUACUGCAGUCCCUCUCCUUCCUUUCAGAACUUGAAGAUAACUCCUUUUUCGUGUCCUGCUUGCCCUCCUGUGCACAGCCUCAUGAAAUUUUUUCCCUCCAACAGAGCCUUCUCUCUGAAUCCUACACAAGUAUCUCUUCAGGAGGAGCUAUAUUGAAAAGAAAAUGAGAUAAUACAAAAAACAUAAGAGACAGAAGGUAUUUAAAAGAAGAUCAAACAGUAUGUAUUGUUAAGAGACAGCCUCACUGCCUCCAUUUUCUUUUCUUUUUGUGCAGUCACCAGUUGCUGUGCUGUCUCUGGGAAACAAUGACUUAAUCAAAAUCCUCAGGCUCUGUCUGUUCUCUUCUGUAUUUGCUUCACUGUUGUGAUCCAGAGAAGUACUAAAAGCCAGAGGGAGAUUAUACAGCUUAUGUGUUCAUUGCAGGAGCAUCUUUAAUCUUUGUAGUUGUAACUAUACAACAGAGCUGAAAGGCUCAAAGCAUCACAAUACAUACCAGUAGUGAGCUGCUCCCAUAACAAUAACGGUAUUUCAAGUUUUUAUCUCUCCUUGCUUUCUGUGAUACAGCAAAGGCCCAUAACUGCAUUUACUCCACAGAUAUUAAUUCAACUUUUGUGAGAAGCAAUUUGUUGAGGAUUUCGAAACACCCUCUGAGAUGAUACUGGAGUUUUGCUCAGAAAACCUCUCAUAAUGCCUCUCAAAACUCUUUAAUAUGGAGUUAUUUCUAGGUCUUUUGCUUCUUUUGGACUCUGCAAUAAAUUCUUGCCUUUUAAAUAGCAAAACCAGGUUAGCUGGACUUUGAAAUGUACAUGAGAAAUUACUGCAGUGCAAGCCAGGUGUACUGAGGUGAAUGGGUACAGCUGCUGCUGGGCUGGGAGCAGCUGCUUCCACAAAAUCACAGUAUCCUUUGGGUCCAGCACGGCCAGGCAAAUAAGCGCAGGCUCGAUGCCAGCUCCCUCCUGCACCCACUGCAAGAGCACAGAUCCCUCCUCUGUUGAAUGUGGCUUUUUAACUCAGGUUUCAGUGAAUAGGGCCUUAGUGAAGAAAGAUGAUUUGCAGCGUCACCUGUGUGCUAAUGUCAUAUGUCUUUGUUUUGUCCAAACACAGCAAAGGCUUUCCUACCAAAGCAGAACACAAAUGUGUUUUACAGUGCUGCCACAAGCUGGAAUCUCGGGAGGACUUUUGCAACAAUAGUUACAUCUUCUAGGGAAAAUGAAGGAGUGAAAAAAAGGCUAACAGAAGAAGAGUGGAUGUCUCAAAAGGAGAAGUAAGGAGUGCUCAUUAAAAACACCACCCAGUGAGUUGUUUUCAUAAGUUUAUUCAGAGUUUGCUGUGGUAAAAGUUUAUCCUUCCUUUGGUGUAGAUAUUUCUUCACGUGGCUUCAACAGCGUAAGAAAUUAAACUGACAUCUUGAAGAUUCUUCCUAAGCUAGGGGAACUGAAGAAACGAGCUAAAGCAGCUUCUUCUGCUCAGUACCAGCAUAAUUUCCUUAGAAAACGGAACUGCAUUUUCUAAUGCCACAUAUCUGAGACUCAUUAAGCAUUUCUUUAAUAAUUCAGUGCUUUAAAAAACCCUGAUGGCAGCAAUAAACCAGUCAUGAACAAGU